rnacentral:rRNA from 1 species
AUUGAACGCUGGCGGAAUGCUUUACACAUGCAAGUCGAACGGCAGCACGGACUUCGGUCUGGUGGCGAGUGGCGGACGGGUGAGUAAUAUAUCGGAACGUAUCCAAUAAUGGGGGAUAACUAAUCGAAAGGUUGGCUAAUACCGCAUACGUCCUACGGGAGAAAGCUAGGGACCUUCGGGCCUGGCGUUAAUGGAGCGGCCGAUAUCAGAUUAGCUAGUUGGUGAGGUAAAGGCUCACCAAGGCGACGAUCAGUAGCUGGUCUGAGAGGACGACCAGUCACACUGGAACUGAGACACGGUCCAGACUCCUACGGGAGGCAGCAGUGGGGAAUUUUGGACAAUGGGCGCAAGCCUGAUCCAGCCAUUCCGCGUGAGUGAAGAAGGCCUUCGGGUUGUAAAGCUCUUUCGCCAGGGAAGAAAACUUAGUUACUAAUAUUAACUGAGGUUGACGGUACCUUGAUAAGAAGCACCGGCUAACUACGUGCCAGCCGCCGCCGUAAUAC